CCUACGGGGUGCAGCAGUGAGGAAUAUUGGUCAAUGGACGAGAGUCUGAACCAGCCAAGUAGCGUGAAGGAUGACUGCCCUAUGGGUUGUAAACUUCUUUUAUAUGGGAAUAAAAUGUUCCACGUGUGGGAUUUUGUAUGUACCAUAUGAAUAAGGAUCGGCUAACUCCGUGCCAGCAGCCGCGGUAAUACGGAGGAUCCGAGCGUUAUCCGGAUUUAUUGGGUUUAAAGGGAGCGUAGGUGGAUUGUUAAGUCAGUUGUGAAAGUUUGCGGCUCAACCGUAAAAUUGCAGUUGAAACUGGCAGUCGUGAGUACAGUAGAGGUGGGUGGAAUUCGUGGUGUAGCGGUGAAAUGCUUAGAUAUCACGAAGAACUCCGAUUGCGAAGGCAGCUCACUGGACUGCAACUGACACUGAGGCUCGAAAGUGUGGGUAUCAAACAGGAUUAGAUACCCUUGUAGUC
rnacentral:rRNA from 1 species